CAGUCGCCGCGGGAAUACGAAGGGUGCAAGCGUUAAUCGGAAUUACUGGGCGUAAAGCGUGCGUAGGCGGUGAGUUAAGUCUGCUGUGAAAUCCCCGGGCUCAACCUGGGAAUGGCAAUGGAUACUGGCAAGCUAGAGUGUGUCAGAGGAUGGUGGAAUUCCCGGUGUAGCGGUGAAAUGCGUAGAGAUCGGGAGGAACAUCAGUGGCGAAGGCGGCCAUCUGGGACAACACUGACGCUGAGGCACGAAAGCGUGGGGAGCAAACAGGAUUAGAUACCCCCGUAGUCCCUGUCUCUUAUAC
rnacentral:rRNA from 1 species